rnacentral:rRNA from 1 species
GACGAACCGUGCGAACGUUAUUCGGAAUCACUUGGGCUUAAAGGGCGCGUAGGCGGGCUGCCAAGUCUGGGGUGAAAGCCCACGGCUCAACCGUGGAAGUGCCGCGGAUACUGGUAGUCUCGAGGGAGGUAGGGGCGUGCGGAACUUCCGGUGGAGCGGUGAAAUGCGUAGAGAUCGGAAGGAACGCCGGUGGCGAAAGCGGCACGCUGGACCUCUUCUGACGCUGAGGCGCGAAAGCCAGGGGAGCAAACGGG